rnacentral:rRNA from 1 species
CCUACGGGAGGCAGCAGUGAGGAAUAUUGGUCAAUGGGCGCAAGCCUGAACCAGCCAAGUCGCGUGAGGGAAGACGGUCCUAUGGAUUGUAAACCUCUUUUGUCGGGGAGCAAAGCGCGGUACGAGUACCGUGAAGGAGAGUACCCGAAGAAAAAGCAUCGGCUAACUCCGUGCCAGCAGCCGCGGUAAUACGGAGGAUGCGAGCGUUAUCCGGAUUUAUUGGGUUUAAAGGGUGCGUAGGCGGAUUUGUAAGUCAGCGGUAAAAAUGCGGUGCUCAACGCCGUAUCGCCGUUGAAACUGCGGGUCUUGAGUGAGCGAGAAGUAUGCGGAAUGCGUGGUGUAGCGGUGAAAUGCAUAGAUAUCACGCAGAACUCCGAUUGCGAAGGCAGCAUACCGGCGCUCAACUGACGCUGAGGCACGAAAGCGUGGGGAUCGAAC